AUUGAACGCUGGCGGCAGGCCUAACACAUGCAAGUCGAGCGGAGCGGCGGACGGGUGAGUAAUGCCUAGGAAUCUGCCUGGUAGUGGGGGAUAAAUUACGGAAACGGGCGCUAAUACAGCAUACUAUCAGAUGAGCCUAGCUGGGAUAAGCUAGUUGGUGGGGUAAAGGCUUACCAAGGCGACGAUCCGUAACUGGUAUGAGAGGAUGAUCAGUCACACUGGGACUGAGACACGGCCCAGACUCCUACGGGAGGCAGCAGUGGGGAAUAUUGGACAAUGGGCGAAAGCCUGAUGCAGCCAUGCCGCGUGUGUGAAGAAGGCCUUAGGAUUGUAAAGCACUUUAAGUUGGGAGGCGUUACCAACAGAAUAAGCACCGGCUAACUUCGUGCCAGCAGCCGCGGUAAUUC
rnacentral:rRNA from 1 species